rnacentral:sRNA from 1 species
UGGCGCUGUUGUUUUUUCAACCUAAGGUAAAGGAACAAGGGUAAGGGAGGAUUUCUCUCCCUCUGAUGAGUUGUUAGUAAGUCGGGAAACUUAACAGUAACAACACAACCAGUAUGAUGACGAACUUCAUCAUAACCCUUUCCUUCU